rnacentral:rRNA from 1 species
GACGAACGCUGGCGGCGUGCUUAACACAUGCAAGUCGAACGGAAAGGCCUGCUUUCCCUUGUGGAUUGCGGGUACUCGAGUGGCGAACGGGUGAGUAACACGUGAGUGAUCUGCCCCCAACUUGGGUAUAAGCCUGGGAAACUGGGUCUAAUUCCCGAUAGGACUGCAGGGUGGUGCCUGUGGUGGAAAACGAUUUUCUAGUGGUUGGGGAUGAGCUCGCGGCCUAUCAGCUUGUUGGUGGGGUAAUGGCCUACCAAGGCGGCGACGGGUAGCCGGCCUGAAGGGGUGGACGGCGACAUUGGGAAUGAGCAACGACCCAGACACCUACGGGAGGCAGAAGUGGGGAAUAGUGGAAACUGGGCGGAAGCCUGAAGAAGCGACGCAGGGUGGGGGAUGAAGGGCUUCGGGUUGUAAACUCCUUUCGAGCGCGAAGAAGCCACCUGGCUGGAAGGGUGGUGACGGUAGUGGUAGAAGAAGCACCGGCUAACUACGUG